rnacentral:rRNA from 1 species
CGGACGGGUGAGUAAUGUAUGGGAAACUGCCUGAUGGAGGGGGAUAACUACUGGAAACGGUAGCUAAUACCGCAUAACGUCGCAAGACCAAAGAGGGGGACCUUAGGGCCUCUUGCCAUCGGAUGUGCCCAGAUGGGAUUAGCUUGUAGGUAAGGUAACGGCUUACCUAGGCGACGAUCCCUAGCUGGUCUGAGAGGAUGAUCAGCCACACUGGGACUGAGACACGGCCCAG